GUAGACGACUACAGCAAAAACCGCGUCCGCGUGUCCGAUCUGAUCGCCCCGGAGACGCAGCGGCUGCUCAGCGAGCCAGCCGCCGGGGAUCAGCGCGUUGCCCUCGGAGGAGAACAUGCGCUACUUCAACGUCAUGAUCUUUGGCCCGGCGCAGUCGCCCUAUGGAGGUGCCAACUUCUAAUCUAGAAUUUGGGCACCCUUUUUUAUGUUGCAUGGCAUGGAGUGGUGGCAUCAGAGCGCUUCUAGAUAACAAUCCUCGAAUUGAGACGAUUCUAGUUAAGAUGCCACUAGAAAUGGGGUGAAUUAUGAAAAUGUUUGCUUUAGUUUAUUCACACGUAGGUAAGCUUGUAUUGUUUGGUGGGCUGGUGGCUUUAGCCACUCAAUUUUGUUAUUCAUGAGUACCAUCUUUUCUUUUUAAUAUUCUAUUAAUGGUGUUAAAGGUGCAGGUAAUUUUAGUAAUGUUUACUCCAAUAUAAUAUGCGACAGUUACUGCUAA